AUUGAACGCUGGCGGCAGGCCUAACACAUGCAAGUCGAACGAGUGGCGGACGGGUGAGUAAUGUCUGGGAAACUGCCCGAUGGAGGGGGAUAACUACUGGAAACGGUAGCUAAUACCGCAUACCAUCGGAUGAGCCCAGAUGGGAUUAGCUUGUUGGUGGGGUAACGGCUCACCAAGGCGACGAUCCCUAGCUGGUCUGAGAGGAUGACCAGCCACACUGGAACGGAGACACGGUCCAGACUCCUACGGGAGGCAGCAGUGGGGAAGAUUGCACAAUGGGCGCAAGCCUGAUGCAGCCAUGCCGCGUGUAUGAAGAAGGCCUUCGGGUUGUAAAGUACUUUCAGCGGGGAGGCGUUACCCGCAGAAGAAGCACCGGCUAACUCCGUGCCAGCCGCCGCGGUAAUUC
rnacentral:rRNA from 1 species